UACGUAGGGUGCGAGCGUUGUCCGGAAUUACUGGGCGUAAAGAGCUCGUAGGUGGUUUGUCGCGUUGUUCGUGAAAACCGGGGGCUUAACCCUCGGCGUGCGGGCGAUACGGGCAGACUUGAGUACUGCAGGGGAGACUGGAAUUCCUGGUGUAGCGGUGGAAUGCGCAGAUAUCAGGAGGAACACCGGUGGCGAAGGCGGGUCUCUGGGCAGUAACUGACGCUGAGGAGCGAAGGCGUGGGGAGCGAACAGG
rnacentral:rRNA from 1 species